UGCUGGGAAGUGGAGGGCAGAACAGAAAGGAGAGUACAGAGCUGACAGUGUUGAUGGAGAGGAAGUUCCUCCUCAGGGGAGCCCAGGCCACUUCCGCCCUCCACUUGGAGCCGGGUGGUGGAUAACAGCUGGCCUCAGGCCUGGAGGCCGUGGGGCCUUCCUGCUCAGUCACACAGCACACUAAGGAAAUAACUUUAUUAGUUAGUGGGUGAAAAACAGGAAAUGUACGCUGUGACUCGGGCACCGGCCGGGCCUCACUCACAUCUUGUUUCUAGGAAACAGACAUGUGGCCUCAGACAAGGAUCUGGGUAGAAGAGCAAAUGUCCAAAGCAGGCUUCCCCAGCCAAGGACCAGCAAUCUGCACAUCCAUAGGCACGGCAGCUAACAGAUUGGUGUAUGAACGAUUGCAUCAUAAUACAGACAGGAAAACCUUUACCAACCACCUUUGGAGAAGGCCAGAAACUCCUCUUGACAAACCGAUGGGUCAAGACGAAGGCCCAUUCACUUGCUGUCUCGCUAUUUAAAGUAAACCUGGAGGAAAAGAACUCACUCACUCAUAGUUGUGGAAAGGAAGUUGUUGUUUUCUUUAAAAAAAAAAAAGGAACUGUAAUUAAUAAAUAAAGAAUAGUAGAAUCGGAA